CUGCAGUCUGUCAGGUUGUUUGAUCACAGGGGAAGGCGGUAUUUCUCUGGUUUCAGCUCUCAGCUCCAACUCCUCCACUCUGAGAGAAGUGGAUGCGAGCCACAAUCAUCCAGGUGACUUGGGAAUUCUUUCAGACGGACAAAAAGAUCUGGACACUCUCAGGGUGGAGCCUGCUGGAGUCCGUUGGUUGACACCAGGUCUGAAGAAGUAUUCCUGUCAACUCACAAUCGACACAAACACCGUAAACAGAAAACUCCAACUGUCUGACAACAACAGGAAGGUGACACAUGUCGAGGAGGUUCAGUCAUAUCCUGAUCAUCCAGACAGAUUUGAUGGUUGGCCUCAGCUGCUGUGCAAAGAUGGUCUCACUGGUCGCUGUUACUGGGAAGUCGAGUGGAGAGGAAAUGUUGAGAUAUCAGUGAGUUACAGAGGCAUCAGGGGGAGAAAAGGUGGGAUUGUCUCUGUUUUUGGAUUUAAUUAUCAGUCAUGGAGUCUGAGCUGCUCUGAGGAUGGUUGUCAGUUUGUCAGGCACAACAAGAU